rnacentral:lncRNA from 1 species
GGGUACACCAGCCAGCCCACGGCACAGAGCCUGCCUGUUGGUCUCUACCCACAGGGGAUCCCCUGCUGCUCCACCAUCAGAUUUGGGACACCACCCCCCCCCCGGCCCCACCAGAGGGCAUCAGCUAUGCCUAGCAAUUACGCCCCCGUGGCUAAAUUAAACUCCCAUUGGCUAAAUUAGGCUCGAAGAGAGGGGCACCUGCUGCUAAGCUGUGUAUGUUGUCCCCUAGGACUCCCACCGUUUGCUGAGCUCCACAUGACAACAGCAGACGACAGGCCGCACUGAUCCCACCUGGCUUACAGGUGCUGUCACACAGGACUGCUGACUAAACACUUUCAAGCACAGUGGACCCUUGAACAACGCAGGUUCAAACUGUGCAGGUCCACCCACAGGGAUGUUUUUCAAUCAGAGUUAUACCAAGUGUCCCUGCCUCUCCUGCCUCCCUUCCCACUUCCUCCAUGUCUUCCUCUCUGCCACCCUGAGGCAGCAAGACCAGCCCCUCCUCCUCAGCCACUCAACAUGAAGACAACGAGGAUGAAGACUUCUAUGAUAAUCCACUUCCACUUAGUAAAUGCUUUCUCUUAUGAUAUUCUUAAUGACAUUUUAUUUUCCCAAGCUUAGUUUAUUGUAAGAAUACAGUAUAAAUAC